AAAAAAAAAAACAAAAAAUUCGAUCACGGAUUACAAAAAAAAAAAAAACAAUUCGAUCAUGGAUUACAAAAAAUUCGCUCAUGUAUUACAAAAAAUUUGAUCAUGGAUUACAAAAAAAAAAAAAAAUCUGUUCUUCAUGGAGCCAUCUUACAUAAUCCAUUUUAACUCAAAAAUCCACCUCUAAGCGAAUAAAUUACAUCCAAUUGAGUACAUUUUAUGAUAAACAACAAUAUAAAGAAUCAAAACCCUAAAUUUUGAACACAUUAUCAUCAAUAAAUCAAAUCAAAUCGAUUAAAUUGAGCAAAUAAAAAAACCGCAAUUCUUCACAUACAACAGUCAUUGAAUCUAAAAAAUGAAGCUCAAAUUGAAUAAAUUAGAUCAAAUUGAAUACAUCUAAUUAUAAACAACACUAUAACGAUUAAAAACGCU
rnacentral:lncRNA from 1 species